rnacentral:rRNA from 1 species
GGAAAGUCGCACGGUACAGGGUGAUAGUCCCGUACACAAAAAUGCAUAUGUUGUGAGUUCGAUGAGUAGGGCGGGACACGUGACAUCCUGUCUGAAUAUGGGGGGACCAUCCUCCAAGGCUAAAUACUCCUGACUGACCGAUAGUGAACCAGUACCGUGAGGGAAAGGCGAAAAGAACCCCGGCGAGGGGAGUGAAAUAGAACCUGAAACCGUGUACGUACAAGCAGUGGGAGCACCUUCGUGGUGUGACUGCGUACCUUUUGUAUAAUGGGUCAGCGACUUAUAUUUUGUAGCAAGGUUAACCGAAUAGGGGAGCCGUAGGGAAACCGAGUCUUAACUGGGCGAAUAGUUGCAAGGUAUAGACCCGAAACCCGGUGAUCUAGCCAUGGGCAGGUUGAAGGUUGGGUAACACUAACUGGAGGACCGAACCGACUAAUGUUGAAAAAUUAGCGGAUGACUUGUGGCUGGGGGUGAAAGGCCAAUCAAACCGGGAGAUAGCUGGUUCUCCCCGAAAGCUAUUUAGGUAGCGCCUCGUGAACUCAUCUUCGGGGGUAGAGCACUGUUUCGGCUAGGGGGUCAUCCCGACUUACCAAACCGAUGCAAACUCCGAAUACCGAAGAAUGUUAUCACGGGAGACACACGGCGGGUGCUAACGUCCGUCGUGAAGAGGGAAACAACCCAGACCGCCAGCUAAGGUCCCAAAGUCAUGGUUAAGUGGGAAACGAUGUGGGAAGGCAUAGACAGCCAGGAUGUUGGCUUAGAAGCAGCCAUCAUUUAAAGAAAGCGUAAUAGCUCACUGGUCGAGUCGGCCUGCGCGGAAGAUGUAACGGGGCUAAACCAUGCACCGAAGCUGCGGCAGCGACACUUAGGUGUUGUUGGGUAGGGGAGCGUUCUGUAAGCCGUUGAAGGUGACCUGUGAGGGUUGCUGGAGGUAUCAGAAGUGCGAAUGCUGACAUAAGUAACGAUAAUGCGGGUGAAAAACCCGCACGCCGGAAGACCAAGGGUUCCUGUCCAACGUUAAUCGGGGCAGGGUGAGUCGACCCCUAAGGCGAGGCUGAAAAGCGUAGUCGAUGGGAAACAGGUUAAUAUUCCUGUACUUGGUGUUACUGCGAAGGGGGGACGGAGAAGGCUAGGCUAGCCGGGCGACGGUUGUCCC